rnacentral:rRNA from 1 species
ACGAACGCUGGCGGCGUGCUUAACACAUGCAAGUCGAACGGAAAGGCCUCUUUCGGGGGGUACUCGAGUGGCGAACGGGUGAGUAACACGUGAGUAACCUGCCCUUGACUUUGGGAUAACUUCAGGAAACUGGGGCUAAUACCGGAUAGGAGCUCCUGCUGCAUGGUGGGGGUUGGAAAGUUUCGGCGGUUGGGGAUGGACUCGCGGCUUAUCAGCUUGUUGGUGGGGUAGUGGCUUACCAAGGCUUUGACGGGUAGCCGGCCUGAGAGGGUGACCGGCCACAUUGGGACUGAGAUACGGCCCAGACUCCUACGGGAGGCAGCAGUGGGGAAUAUUGCACAAGGGGUGGAAGCCUGAUGCAGCAACGCCGUGUGCGGGAUGACGGCCUUCGGGUUGUAAACCGCUUUCGCUCAUGACGAAGCUUUGUGUGACGGUAGUGGGUAAAGAAGCACCGGCUAACUACGUG